UAGGAAUGUUAAUUUCCAGUUUAGCUGUAAGUGUAUUUACCUACAGGUUCUAAUUAUCUUGGCUUAUCAACCCAUAGAGUAGCUUCCAACUUUGACCAUGGGCUUGUCUCAUUACUAUGGCUACACGAGGCAGUCAUGAGACUAUGUCUGACCCUGGUUGCCUUCCUCUGAUCAUGGCCUGUGGAUUAACUUCCUGCUAUCUUGUACCUGCUUCACUGCAAACUAUUUACCUGAAGGUUUGGGCUCUUCAGCCCUGGCCAGUGAGGCCAUUGUCCUGCCACCUGUGUUCUGCUCAGCUCCCUUUCUCCCAGGGAGCAGCUGGCCCUCCACUGCUCCUUAGCACUAUGGUGACUUCUCCAGAAGCAACAGACAGCACAUAGAACUGCAGGAUGAAAACAUAUACUAAUCACCUUCUUGUUAAAUGACUGAUACAUAUCCGGUGCUAUGAUGAAAGAAGGGCUGCCAGGACAUUAGGAGAAGGCUGUUGCUAUCACCGUUGCAACUAACUCAACCCCCUUCUGGUAUCUUCUCUUAAUAUAAGCCUUCUGGAAGAGGCUGAAGCCUACAGGAAUUGCAAGCUGCUCCAGCAUGCCCUCCUCCAUGAGCCAUCAUGAUGGACCCGUUCUAUGCGAUGGAUUGUUCUACAUGAAUACUGUGUGCAAGAUGAGCUGGUUGCUCAAGGAACAUAAAACCUCUGCACGUGCAAGUUGUUUGUCUAACUUACUGUGUGAUGAAGGAUGGGUCAGUCUGACCAGUGAGAGAGGCAGGGUCCCGUGAUUUUGAACUGUGGUAUCCUGUGAUGCUGAGCUCUGACAGAAGAUGGAGGCAGGCUGCAGAAAAUUCCUAAACUCUGUAAGGUAGGUGCUCAUUCUCCUUACAGUAACUGUCUGUGCACUGAGAAAGAAACAUGAUAACUGAAGUAACUCAUGCUCAUGCACCGUUCUAAUGUGGAAGAACAAUGGGGCUACUUAGAAUUAAGCCUUACUAGCUUCAGACUCAGAAUGAAGUUACUACAGAUCAGCUGCAUGGUUAUAUAUUGCUUUAAGAUUCUUUAAGAUUUAAUUCAGUUGAAUGAUCAUAUUCUCUUGUUCAGAAGAUAAUCCGAUAUUUCUGUCAUGUCCAAAAUGAAGCUUCAGAAGGAAUAUGGAAAGCUUAAUGUGCUAGUUUCCAUGGUAGAGCUGUAAGCAUUCCAUGCUAGAAAACAUGGGGUGCACCUGAAAACAGUAUUUAGUCUUAAGUCCAAGUGUAAAGAAUGGCUGUCACAUACAAAUGAAGUACUCCCCAACUGGAUUUGCUGAGAUAGUACUAAAACCAAAACAAAUAAGAGAACAAGCAACUAUUCCCAUAGAUGCAGUGAGCAGUCAAUAAUGCUAAUUUGUACACUUGCUACUGAUGCAACUUCACAGCAUUUAGAAAAAACUUCAUGAGUAAUGCCAGUAUCACUGCAGACUUCAGAAAAACUAAUUUGCAAUGUCUAGAUCCACUUUUCAAACAAAAACUCUUGAGUAUUUAUUCAAAUAGCAACUUCAUGCUACAUUUUCAACAAAUGAUAUUUGCCUUACAAAUUUUCAACUUUCUAGGAAUGGAGCUCUGGGAUUCCUUGGUGUUGUAGCUUGGCUGCACACCUGUACUGAGUACGCAAAGAAAAUUCUUACUCAGGGCUUUUUUUACGCACCAACCAUUAAGAUUACUGGAAAAGUGUGUCCUUGGUAUGUGCCUUUCUCUCCUGUAUAUCCAAGGUUCUUACAUAGUUCUUUUGGUUUUCCUUCUCUACUCCCUCCCCCAUGUCUCACUCCAUUCCUCAGGAUAUCAGCUUAGAUUACUGACAGCAGCAUGAGGAGGGGAUGGGAGACUUACAGGCACCUGGGAUUUCCUAAAGGGAAAUCUUUGGCAAAUGUCUUUUUAUUAUUUAUUUCCUUAUUUUUAAUUCCACCCCUCUCAAGCUGUCAUUUCUUAGCAGUGAAAAUGAAAAGCUGCCAUUUAUGUGUGCACAACAAUGGAGGCCUCUGCAGGCCACAUGGCUCCUGCAGUUUAAUUUACUUUAAUUCAUUUUAUAUUGAACCAAAUGAUCUUAUUUGCUGUUUUUGAUGGAGAGCCUUCAACAUGCAGGGUGGGAGCCAAGCCCCUCUACCAAAGAAAUUAUGAGCCCAGCUGCUAUUAAGACUUGUACCCAGCUUUGAAGGGUAUGCUGAAGCUCAUGGGGGAGGAAGGGACAUCUUUAGCCACAGGCAUGCUCCUUCUCCCACAGUCUCCCUCUGACUGCAAAGGUACAAGAUCACACUGAUUUGGGUUGCCUUCCUUUUUCUGCUGCUUUUCUCCCCCAAUGCACAAGCCGCUCUUUCCCUGCCUUCCAUCCUGAUUGCAGUCUCAGAUUCUCUUGGCACCUCUGUUUUUCCAGGCUAGUUUAGAACCUAAGAAACUCUGGGAUUUUCUUAAAUUUUUGAUCUUCCCUCAUUCGUUGGUUGGGCUGCCUGCAAAGAUAUUCCAUUUCUGAGCUAUUCAAGCUUGGAGAACUAUGGGUAGACAUAGCAGUCUUCAUGCUUCAUAUUCCAGCACUGAGUAUAAUUUUGGUUCCUGACAACCAUUUUUUGGCCCCAAACGACGUGUACUGCUGCCUGUAUUCAGACUGAAAAAGCAAAUCAAAGACAUUCUACCUUUUAAUAUUAGCUUGCUUUUUUCUCAGUUACAGCAUCAGAUCAGGCUUUAGUAAACCUCACUUCCAUUGCUGAUGGGAAGCCUCUUUGCUUUUUCCUUUUAAAUGUGUACUGGAUACAAGAUGGCUCUUGAUGUGAUGGGGCCAUACUAAAAGUACAUGACACCGGUACUUCAGUCUGGGAGAACUGAGUGUGCUAGCCCACGUUUUUCAUGUGUUCACUGUCAAAAUGAAAAAAGGCAUCUGAGCUAAGUGGAGUUCCAUGCUACUCACUAUUUUCAUGAAUGACCUUAAGCCUACUCUGUUCCAUCAUUAUUAAAUGUGCAGUUCACAGUGAAGUAGGAAACACAUUGAGAAGAAGAAUUAUAAUUCAAAAAUCAUCUUGACAGACUAGAGAAAUGGUCUGGAAAACCUGAGGGUGCAAUUAAAGAAACACCAAAGACAGCCCAGCAGAGAACAAUAAUAAAAUCAAAGUUCUGGAAUGAAUGAGUAUCUGAGAAAAGACUCAUUUGGGUUUGUUUCUUCUACACAGAAGACUGGAUAUAUGAAGGCUUCAAUGUUUAAAAGAAAGAAUCUGAUCUUGCUUCAAUCACAAUGGAUAUGGUGAGUUAUGAGCUAUAAGAGAAGGCCAUUCUGAGGUGACGCUUCACACUAGAAAGACUACACAAGCAUCAGUGAAAGCCAUGUAAUAGAGAAGACUAGAAUCUCAAGUAGCAGUAUGAAAAUCCAGACUAGCUUUGGAAGUGCCUUUGAACUUCCCAAACAAGGAAUAUCUUGGCCUACUCAGAGUUGAUCAGAGACCCUGAUAUCCCAGCCAUUGGCAAGUUUUAUCAUCUACUGCCAGCAAGAAGGUACUGCAAGGAAAUUCAAGAUUAAAUACCCCUAAGCCCUUCACAGCUGUGAAGAACUCUGUCCCUGGCAGAGCACCAGGCUCCUCUUCAGGACCUGUAUUAUAAGGAGCUAGAGGUUGCUGUUCCAACUAGUUUUAUCCACAGGAAAAACAACAACAAAAAUAUUUCCUGGAAAAAAAAAAACUUAUAUCUCUACCCUACAAAUUAAAUUUAUUUCUCCAAAAGCUUGUUACCUGCUAUGAUUAAGCAACAGGCACCCAGAAAUUCAAAAGCUACAGACAAGGCUUCAAGCAGAAAUGCUACUACAAGUAUUUGGG